UACGUAGGGGGCGAGCGUUGUCCGGAAUUAUUGGGCGUAAAGAGCGUGUAGGCGGUUCGGUAAGUCUGCUGUGAAAUCCUGGGGCUCAACCCUGGGCGUGCAGCGGAUACUGCCGGGCUAGUGGGUGGUAGAGGCGAGUGGAAUUCCGAGUGUAGCGGUGAAAUGCGCAGAUAUUCGGAGGAACACCAGUAGCGAAGGCGGCUCGCUGGGCCACACCUGACACUGAGGCACGAAAGCUAGGGGAGCGAAUGGG
rnacentral:rRNA from 1 species